rnacentral:rRNA from 1 species
GACGAACGCUGGCGGCGUGCUUAACACAUGCAAGUCGAACGGAAAGGCCCUGCUUUUGUGGGGUGCUCGAGUGGCGAACGGGUGAGUAACACGUGAGUAACCUGCCCUUGACUUUGGGAUAACUUCAGGAAACUGGGGCUAAUACCGGAUAGGAGCUCCUGCUGCAUGGUGGGGGUUGGAAAGUUUCGGCGGUUGGGGAUGGACUCGCGGCUUAUCAGCUUGUUGGUGGGGUAGUGGCUUACCAAGGCUUUGACGGGUAGCCGGCCUGAGAGGGUGACCGGCCACAUUGGGACUGAGAUACGGACCAGACUCCUACGGGAGGCAGCAGUGGGGAAUAUUGCACAAUGGGCGGAAGCCUGAUGCAGCAACGCCGCGUGCGGGAUGACGGCCUUCGGGUUGUAAACCGCUUUCGCCUGUGACGAAGCGUGAGUGACGGUAAUGGGUCAAGAAGCACCGGCUAACUACGUG